UACGUAGGGUGCAAGCGUUACUCGGAAUUACUGGGCGUAAAGCGUGCGUAGGCGGUUCGUUAAGUCUGACGUGAAAUCCCCGGGCUCAACCUGGGACGUGCGUUGGAAACUGGCGAUCUAGAGUACGGUAGAGGGUGGUGGAAUUCCCGGUGUAGCAGUGAAAUGCGUAGAGAUCGGGAGGAACACUCGUGGCGAAGGCGGCCACCUGGACCAGUACUGACGCUGAGGAACGAUAGCGUGGGGAACAAACAGG
rnacentral:rRNA from 1 species